rnacentral:rRNA from 1 species
GAAACGGUUGCUAAGACUGGAUAGGAAACAAAAAGGCAUCUUUUUGUUUUUAAAAGACCUUCUUAUGAAGGUAUGCUUAAAGAGGGGCUUGCGCCACAUUAGUUAGUUGGUAGGGUAAAAGCCUACCAAGACGAUGAUGUGUAGCUGGACUGAGAGGUUGAACAGCCACAUUGGGACUGAGACACGGCCCAAACUCCUACGGGAGGCAGCAGUAGGGAAUUUUCGGCAAUGGAGGAAACUCUGACCGAGCAACGCCGCGUGAACGAUGAAGUAUUUCGGUAUGUAAAGUUCUUUUAUUGAAGAAGAAAAAGUAGUGGAAAAACUAUAUUGACGUUAUUCAAUGAAUAAGCCCCGGCUAACUAUGUGCCAGCAGCCGCGGUAAGACAUAGGGGGCGAGCGUUAUCCGGAAUUAUUGGGCGUAAAGGGUGCGUAGGCUGUUAGAUAAGUCUAUAAUUUAAUUUCAGUGCUUAACGCUGUCUUGUUAUAGAAACUGUCUUGACUAGAGUGAGAUAGAGGCAAGCGGAAUUCCAUGUGUAGCGGUAAAAUGUGUAAAUAUAUGGAGGAACACCAGAAGCGUAGGCGGCUUGCUGGGUCUUUACUGACGCUGAGGCACGAAAGCGUGGGUAGCAAACAGGAUUAGAUACCCUGGUAGUCCACGCCGUAAACGAUGAGUACUAAGUGUCGGGGUAAAACUCGGUACUGAAGUUAACACAUUAAGUACUCCGCCUGAGUAGUACGUACGCAAGUAUGAAACUUAAAGGAAUUGACGGGACUCCGCACAAGCGGUGGAUCAUGUUGUUUAAUUCGAAGAUACACGAAAAAUCUUACCAGGUCUUGACAUACUCUGCAAAGCUAUAGAAAUAUAGUGGAGGUUAUCAGGGAUACAGGUGGUGCAUGGUUGUCGUCAGUUCGUGUCGUGAGAUGUUAGGUUAAGUCCUAAAACGAGCGCAACCCUUGUCGUUAAUUGCCAGCACGUAAUGGGUGGGGACUUUAGCGAGACUGCCAAUUAAACAUUGGAAGGAAGGUGAGGAUUACGUCAAAUCAUCAUGCCCCCUUAUGAUCUGGGGCUACAAACGUGAUACAAUGGCUGUGACAAAGAGUAGCUGAAACGCGAGUUUUUAGCCAAUCUCAAAAAAGCAGUCUCAGUUCGGAUUGAAGUCUGUAACUCGACUUCAUGAAGUUGGAAUCGCUAGUAAUCGCGAAUCAGCAUGUCGCGGUGAAUACGUUCUCGGGGUUUGUACACACCGCCCGUCA